rnacentral:rRNA from 1 species
UACAGAGGGUGCAAGCGUUAAUCGGAAUUACUGGGCGUAAAGGGCGCGUAGGCGGUCCGAUAAGUCCCGUGUGAAAUCCCUCGGCUCAACUGAGGAAUGGCACGGGAAACUGACGGGCUUGAGUUCGGGAGAGGGAAGCGGAAUUCCGGGUGUAGCGGUGAAAUGCGUAGAUAUCGGAAGGAACAUCAGUGGCGAAAGCGACUUCCUGGACCAAUACUGACGCUCAUGUGCGAAAGCGUGGGGAGCAAACAGG